rnacentral:rRNA from 1 species
UACGAAGGGAGCAAGCGUUGUUCGGAAUUACUGGGCGUAAAGGGCGCGUAGGCGGUUUAACAAGUCAGGCGUGAAAGCCCCGGGCUCAACCCGGGAAUAGCGCUUGAGACUGUUUUUCUAGAGUUCGGAAGAGGUAAGUGGAAUUUCCAGUGUAGCAGUGAAAUGCGUAGAUAUUGGAAAGAACACCAGUGGCGAAGGCGGCUUACUGGUCCGACACUGACGCUGAGGCGCGAAAGCGUGGGGAGCAAACAGG